CAGCCGCCGCGGGAAUACGGAGGGAGCUAGCGUUGUUCGGAAUUACUGGGCGUAAAGCGCACGUAGGCGGUUAUUCAAGUCAGAGGUGAAAGCCCGGGGCUCAACCCCGGAACUGCCUUUGAAACUAGAUGACUAGAAUCUUGGAGAGGUCAGUGGAAUUCCGAGUGUAGAGGUGAAAUUCGUAGAUAUUCGGAAGAACACCAGUGGCGAAGGCGACUGACUGGACAAGUAUUGACGCUGAGGUGCGAAAGCGUGGGGAGCAAACAGGAUUAGAUACCCGCGUAGUCCCUGUCUCUUAUAC
rnacentral:rRNA from 1 species